rnacentral:rRNA from 1 species
CUUACAAUUAGAAUUACCUUAAUUAGGCUUUCUUAUAUGUAAAAUAAAAUUAAAGUUAAAGAAGAUAUAUAAAUUGUACCUUUUGUAUCAGGGAAAUUUAAAAUUAUAUUAAAUUAUUAAUCGAGUAAAAUGGAUCUUUAUAUUUAGGAUUUAGUUGUAUUUAAAUCCUUUAAAUAAAUAAGAAGUGAAAAAUGUACGACGUUUAUGAUAUCUAAUUGUUUUUUAAUCAAAAGGUUAAGCUUUUGAUUGUCUAAACUACUAUUAAUAUAACGAAAACUAGGCUUUAGAUUAGUCAGGUUAAUAGAUUGUUUUAAGUAAUCUUUUAAAAAUUUACGAAAUUAGAAUUAUAAAGGCAAUAUGUAAAUAUUUAGAUAAAUAUAAAUAAUGAAUUUAUUGAAUAAAUAACGAAAAUUGAAAAUAACUCAUGAAGGCUAGAAAGUUUAACAAAAACAUUUCUGUUUGUUUAAAUAAAAGUAAAACCUGCCCGGUGAUGUAAGUUAAACGGCUGCGGUAUUUUGACUGUGCUAAGGUAGCAUAAUAAUUUGCUAUUUAAUUGUUAGCUGGUAUGAAAGGUAAAACUAGUUUAUUUAGUUUGUAAGUUUUAUUAAGAGAUUUAGGUUAAGGUAAUAACUCCUUAAUAUUUUAGGGGACGAUAAGACCCUAAAAGCUUAACAAAUGUUAUUUUAUUAAUUAUAAAAUUAAAUUUGUUUUACUGGGGCGGUACUAACAAUUAAACUGUUAUUAUAUUGAAAGAUCCUUUAUAUAAAGAAAUAACGGAUAAGUUACUUUAGGGAUAACAGUGUGAUAUAUUUAGAGAGAUCUUAUCGAUAAAUAUGAUUGCUACCUCGAUGUU